UACGUAGGGACCAAGCGUUGUUCGGAUUUACUGGGCGUAAAGGGCGCGUAGGCGGCGUGGUAAGUCACUUGUGAAACCUCUGAGCUUAACUCAGAACGGCCAAGUGAUACUGCUGUGCUAGAGUGCAGAAGGGGCAAUCGGAAUUCUUGGUGUAGCGGUGAAAUGCGUAGAUAUCAAGAGGAACACCUGAGGUGAAGACGGGUUGCUGGGCUGACACUGACGCUGAGGCGCGAAAGCCAGGGGAGCAAACGGG
rnacentral:rRNA from 1 species